rnacentral:snoRNA from 1 species
UGAUGUCUGUAACCAAAUUUAUCCCUGAGCCUGGGACACAGGAACAGGGCCCAUGAGUCACAGUGUUUCUGUGGCAGCCUUCUGGGCCAGUGCCUACCAUGCAUAGGACAGGUACUGAAUUUGACACGGCUGCAGGCAUCUGCAGGGCCAGCGCUCCCCUCUCUCCACCGUUCUGUCCAAAGGGCUCACCAUAGGCAUAGGCCACGUCCAAGAGCACAUCUUUCGUCAGAGAGAAGGGCUUCUGCACCAGGUGGUAGGAGAUGGCCCGCAGCAAGGGCACGGACCGCCGGCUCUGAGCUGCCAGCAUCACCAGCACCUUCCGCAGCUCAUUGGGGCCAAAGUGCUCCACCAACUCCAGGCACUGUCAACCACAGCCGCGCAGAGGUCAGCUCAAUGGCCUGGGGUGGCAGAGAUGAGCUGGGGGCAGGGGUCCCAUGGUCCCAUCCAGUGCAGCCCCUGUGACAGCCCCUGUCAGACUGGGCCUGAGCUGACUAAACACAGGACCACUGUGCAGGGCCUGCCUCCUCAUCCACCCCAGGGAACCCCUGGACCUGGAGCACUGUCCACAGCCAAACUUAUCCCCAGGUCCCAGGGUAGGUGACCCAGGGCCCAUGAGCUGUGGAGCUUGCUGUGGCAGCCAUCUGGGCCAGCCCCCGCUAUGACAGAAACGGGCACUGAAUUUGACUUGACUGCA